UCGUAAAAAUAUACCACUUCGAUUAAUGUAACAUUUAGUUAAUGUAUGAUGCUAUCAAGUUGCACUGUUUUGUAAACCAACUUUGGUUUAAGAUGCAUUUUGAGCGUCUGGAUACUAGUACGAAAGGAGUAUCACCAAGAGAGUGAUAGUCUACCGCUACCAGAAAACCGUUCCUUUACGUUCGUUAUACCCGGUAUCAAGAUUUACGUUACGUUCCAAACGUUCCUUUACAUCACGUUUCUCGUACCCAACAAGUUUAUUUUCCUGAUUCAUGUUCGAGAUUUGAUUUGAAGUGUCUGUUGAUUGUUAUUAAAGAUAUUCGCCGAUUUCAAAUUGAAUUAUAUUGGGGCAGCACUUGGAAGGCACAGAAGAAUCUGGGGGCACUUUAACCGCUGUUUACAGACUUUAAUUGCUUGAAAGCACGGACUAGUUGUAACAAUUAACUGAUAUAAGUUUGGGGUCGGGACUGGGUUAUUGGGACGCGUUUUUGAAGUCUCCAAUCUCCUUAAUGUGCGUGAGAAGUAACCAGGCUCAUAGAAUCGAGCGCAACAAGUAAUAUGUUCAAAACAAAGAUUUUGGUUAAUAUGAUGAUAACAAAUGUUGCAUAAGUUUGGAAAGAAAUUCUGAGUUUGAUUUUGAUUUUUUUAAGCCAUUAGGUAGGGAAUUCCAAGCUUUUGGUCCACAUACUGCAAUGGAUUCUUGUGAGAUACUUUUAGCAA